UUUCCCCCUUCAAUGAGUAGGCAGUACCUUCUUUUUUUCAUUUUUUUUUACCCCUACAGAUGCUCUGUUUCUUACCUUAGUCAGGUUGAUAUGUUUGAGUAAAUUUUGGUUGCUGCCUGCAAGGCAGUUGUUUAGUUCAUAAAUGUAUGAUUAGGUUACCUUACUUAUAUUGCCCCAUGUUUUAUGAUAUCAGUAGAUUUGGGAAAUUUGCUCUUUAAUAAAAAAAGUUGAGUUUGGCAUGAAAGCUCUGCUUAGUUUAGCAUCGCAUAUCUGGUAUUAUAAUGUUUUUGAAAAAAGAAUGUUUAUUUGCUUGAAAAGGGACAGUAACCAUAAUUAUAUGAAAGAUAGCUUGGUUAGCUUGAAAAAGGAAUGCUACUUCGCAUUAACCUGUCUGGAACAUGUGUUCCUACAAUUUGGCAUGUCUGAAAUAGGUUCCUUUGCUUUAACUCGAUAUGCUUAUUUGCUCUAGCCUGCACUCUUAUAUUAUCUUUAUUCCUCUUGCAAGGAGAAGAGUUUCUGUCUUUUGUUUCCUAAAUCUUGGUGUGGUUGUCGUCUUGGCAUUGCAAAGGCUUGCCUAAGUUCAGAACCACCUGAGGGAUUUACUGGCUGAAGGGAAACCUCAUGUGUGUUAGCUAGCUCUUGGCCUUAACAUCUCAUGCGGCAGCAACAUCCUCAGCAGAACAUAUUACAAGUUUUUACGACACCGUGUGACAGUAACACUAUUGAUUCUUUAAGCCUGUAGUACGCAUAUGGAGAAACAAACUCACUUUUGCUAGCUCUUUUUCAUUUUUCUCUGCAGAAAUUUGAAAGCAGAAAGGGAUGUGUAUUAUUACACCAAUUGAAACCUACAAAAAUUUUAAACUCUUUAGAUGCUGCUUCUGGAUUAUGAAUUUGGGCUUCAGAGACCAAAAAGCUAAGUAAUUAUUCAAGAUGAAGGCAUUUAGCUUUUGUUUAGUUCUGUAGCUUCCACGGCAUCAACAUAAUUUCAGCAAAGCACUUUUCUUUACUUAAUCUGCACACAUGUAGACAUGUAUUUUCUUUUUCUUGAUAAGGCUUCAUGUUUCUUGACUAUCUAUUUUCGUUCUUAUUUUGUACAUUCCUACACUAGGUGGAGAAUACAGCACGUAAUCAAACAGUGUUUUGCUAACUGGUGGAACAUCUAGGUGUCAUUACUCACUAAUUGAUUUUGUUUUUUCAGAGGAUGCACCCUUUUCCAGGUUGAAUUGGAAAAAUUGCGCCUCUUAUGUGAGAGGAUAAUUAAGAGACAAAGGUUAACUAUCAACCACCCUUUGAAUAAUUAUAUGUGCUUAGGCUAAUUAGAUGGAGUUAAGGAGUAAGUGCAUGGUGUGGAGGUUUGGGACACUACUUGGCCUUUUACGCAGCCACACGGGAAAAUCGUAGUAUACUUUAUGGUGGCCCAAUUUAGUUUCAUAUCAAACCCAGCUGCAUCCUGACAUCUUAGAUCUUGUGAAGUUUGUAAUAUACUGCUUUUUAGAUACA